rnacentral:miRNA from 1 species
UGAGUUGGUUAUUCAAUCUUGCG